GAUUCUUUAACAGAUAAUCUUAGCACUAUUAUUAUAGAUUUCUUGAGAUUUCUUGAAUCAACAAGGUCUACCAUUUAACCAUCUUCAUCUGGUACAGUUGGUAAGUUCUAAAAACCUGUUAUGCAUUCCUUAUCAAUGCAAUAUUUAUUUUUUACAACAAUCUUUUAACCUUAGUUCUAACUCUAACUGCAACAAGUGGUAAGUUUAAAAACUAUUACUGUGUAAUAUGUGUAUGCAUUUCUCAACAAUUGCAAUAUUUAUUUUCUAUUAAAACUUUUUAAACUGAGGAACAUCCUCAUCUGAUACAAUGGAACAUCCUCAUCAAUUGCAUUAUUUGUUAUUUGUUUUUUAUUAACUUUUUUACCUUAGUUUUAUCGUCUUCUGCAUCAAG